rnacentral:lncRNA from 1 species
UUCUUUUCCCUUGUUUUUCUUUUCAAUCGUCUUUCUGGCGAGAAAAUAGCCGAUCAAUUUCCUUCGGCAACAGGAACAAAUCAAGAUAAAAGCUCAGGGACCACGAGUAGGGGCAAAACAGAAACAGCCCGGAGAACGGUCUUCAGGUAUCAUCCCACCUCCUUUACUCGUAUCAAUUGCUUCCAACAUUCUCACCACCUCACCCAUUUCAGGACGUUUAUUUGCAUUUGCGUCCCAGCACUUGCGCAUGAUGUUUGAAAAAGAACUCGGACAGCAUCUGGGGAUUUCUGGCCGUAAGUUCUGUUAACAAACCAUAUAGUACGUACAAUGAAACGCCCAUGAAGAGUUAGAUGUCAAAUCUUCGACUAGAUAUACAACUUCAAUUACAA